UAACGCGUGGGCAACCUGCCCCACUAGAGGGGGACGAACAGCUGGAAACGGCUGCUAAUACCGCAUAACAAGGAGAGAGCGCAUGUUCUUUUCUUCAAAGAUUUAUCGCUAUGGGAUGGACCCGCGUCUGAUUAGCUAGUUGGUGAGGUAACGGCUCACCAAGGCGACGAUCAGUAGCCGGCUUGAGAGAGUGAACGGCCACAUUGGGACUGAGACACGGCCCAGACUCCUACGGGAGGCAGCAG
rnacentral:rRNA from 1 species